UACGAAGGGUGCAAGCGUUACUCGGAAUUACUGGGCGUAAAGCGUGCGUAGGUGGUUCGUUAAGUCCGAUGUGAAAGCCCUGGGCUCAACCUGGGAAUGGCAUGGGAUACUGGCGGGCUAGAGUGCGGUAGAGGGUGGCGGAAUUCCCGGUGUAGCAGUGAAAUGCGUAGAUAUCGGGAGGAACAUCUGUGGCGAAGGCGGCCACCUGGACCAGCACUGACACUGAGGCACGAAAGCGUGGGGAGCGAACAGG
rnacentral:rRNA from 1 species